GGGUUGAACAUCCAAGAGGCGAGCGAUCUGUGGUCCCGGGACGGGCUCCAGGACACCAAGCGCCUGGCCUACAGCAAUAUGGCCAGGGUGGGGGAGGUCUUUGGACAGAUCUUUUCAGAAGGCCAGAGAAGAUCUUUCCUCCAGGCGGCGCUUCUGGCCAUACAUGAGCCCCAGAUCCGUGUCAGCCAGGCUGGGCUGGUGCUACCGUACUCCAUCCUGGGGGAAGCUGGCCAGCUCAUAGGGGAUGAGCAGGAGGAUGUUACAGCAACUAUCAUGGCGCACCUGUUCUACAUCCGGUGCUUGCGCCAGGUGCCCAAAGCAUUGCAGGGGCUGUGCGCAGUGGGACACCUUUGAAGUCCCCUCUCCCCCCUUGCAUGACCAGAAGGUCCCACGCCCUGCCGCAGGAAGGGAGUCUCCCAAUGAGGGGUCUCUAGAGCUCCAGCUGGGCAGUGCCUAGGAGAACCUGUAAAUCAUCCUGGUUCCUGCCUGCAUGCACCACCCUGCCCUGCCCGGCCCUCCGGUUCCUCACUAUUGACUCUGGCUUGACGCUUGGCUCCGGUCUCUGGUUAUGACUUCGGCGUGACCCUCCUUGGCUCCAGAUGUUGGCUACCCACCCUGGUUCCGUAUUCUCCUUGCCCUUCUCUAGUCCUGCUCCAGGCCCCCCACCAACCCGCUCCGGCAUUGUCUUCUCCUCCUGAUCUUCCCCAAGCACUCGGACUUUGACUACCCGGCUUUGACCCUCGGCCUGUAUCUGGACUCUGGCUUGACAUUGACUUGGCUGAUCUUUGGUCUCUGACUACCCGGCUACGACCUCUGGCAUGGACUUAGGCACUGUCUCUGCUUCUGCUUCGUCGAUGGAUUCUGAUCUCGGUUUUGACCCUGGUGUGUUCCUGGACCUUGAUUCUAGCACCACUCUUAGCCUAGGCACAAUCCUGCACCUCUCUGCGACCUACGCUCCAACCACUGGGCCUAAUUAUCAGACGCAGCACGUGACAUUAGGUGGUGCAACUUUUUGCAGAAAAGCAGGCUCUCCACAAGUAAGUGGCCCAUAGGCAACAGGGACACACCGCACCAGGUGUGAACAAUGAUCUCACUACAUGAGCCUGGCCCGAUGCUGCCCCUACUGGAAUUGUGCAAUGGAAAUGACUGAAAAUGUUGGAGUUCCUUUAACCAGCUUCCGCCAUUCUUGACUCAGACACCCGGCAUUCCUGAUAAAUGCCCGGAUGACACGGGUAUCUUUGAAAGAAAUGGGGACUCAUUACCUCUGCACCGGGACUAUGUGUAUAGAUACACGGGUAUCUUUGAAAGAAAUGUGGGAGUCUACUACGCCUCUCUUUAGACAAUCAGCCCCUGAGAAAAGUGAUUGUUUGGAACCAUUACCCCCUGCUGUGAAUCCCACGACUGUUGGCUCACAGGAAAUCUGCAAAGUUGUUCAUCAAACUUCAUCUGCGAGGAUUUCCAAUCUAACACUCAUUUGGGCAGGGGACAAAUGGAAACCAGAUUUCAAAGCACACUAUGGACAUUUUAACUGUCUGAUUGGCCAUUGGAGCGAACUAACGGUCCCCUGGCCUUGCAACACGUCAUCAGUGAUGUAUCUGGGGACAUUGUGGAUCCAUACAGUGCCAUCUAUUCAGGUGACAGACUUCUCUUUCUGGAGAACCCAGAGCAGCACGCGCACCACACCCGAACCUGGAGAGGUUUCGGCAGCAUGGUCUCAACACGGAAUUGGAAAAGCGUACUUACAGCCAACUCUCCUCAGAGGUUUUGGGGUACAUCCUCUCCCCAGAAGGUGUUACGAUUGAUCCAAAUAAAGUGGAAGCCAUUCCUAGAUGGGAUGAAGUUUGAAGUCCUCAAGAAGAGCAGCGCUGCCUAGACUUCACCCGCUUUACUGCUGCUUCCGCCCAGGGUUCUCAGAGCCAGUAACCCCCACGAGAGCUCUCCUCCACAUAACGGCCACAUUCGUUUGGUCACCCAAG